rnacentral:rRNA from 1 species
UACGUAGGGUGCAAGGCGUUAAUCGGAAUUACUGGCGUAAGCGUGACGCAGGCGGUCGUGUAAGACAGAUGUGAAAUCCCCGGGCUACAACCGUGGGAACUGGACAUUUGUGACUGCACGGCUGGAGUGCGGCAGAGGGGAUGGAAUCCGCGUGUAGCAGUGAAAUGCGUAGAUAUGCGGAGGAACACCGAUGGCGAGGCAAUCCCCUGGCCUGCACUGACGCUCAUGCACGAAGCGUGGGAGCAAACAGG